GUGAGUCAUCGAAUCUUUGAACGCAUCUUGCGCUCCCGGGUUAUUCCCGAGAGCAUGCUUGUUUGAGUGUCGCGAAACUCUCAACCCCGCUCCUAUCUUUGUUGAUUCGAGUUGUCUGGGCUUGGAUCUUGAUUGUUUUGCUGUUCUAAUGGACAGCUCAAUUGAAAAUACAACAAGCUGAAUCAAUAUAUGUGCGGCUUGACCUGUCGUUGUAAGCAAUUCAACUCGAUGGGGACGCACAAGAAUUGAACGAGCUUCUCAAAAUGCUUUCCACUUUGCUUGGACCUGGCUCAAACCAAAAGUCCUUCUCAGUGCAUUCUGACCUCAAAUCAAGUAGGACUACCCGCUGAACUUAA
rnacentral:rRNA from 1 species